UGAACAAGAGGGGCUGAUGGCAUCUUAAUGGGACUGUCAUCUCACAGCAAAAGAGAGAUGAAGAUUUAUAUACAUGCACACGAUCCACUGUGCAGGGUGCAGUGUGGGGAAAACCAGUGUGAGACAUGAACCCUGGUGAAUGUGGUUCUUCCUCGGGGGAUAACCCUUGGCAUGCUGACUUUCAUGGUACAUCGCCCACAUGCUGUAGGAAAAAGACUGCAGAUUUGGAAUUCAAAAACAAGACUUUGCUGUUUAUAAGAAUUGCAUUUCUGGAAAGGAGGGGGACUGUCCACACCAGCCAGCAACCUCAUGCAUUAAAAGUCUAGGCUUUCUUUCACACCCAACUAAAAUCCAAGACCCCUUCCAAGAUUUGCCUUGUCACCCACCAGGGAAGAGGAGCCCCAUGACCCACAGGUAAGGAGGGUGGAACAUGAAGAUGCCUCCGGGGGUGCAGGGGGAGAAAG
rnacentral:lncRNA from 1 species